GAUGAACGCUGGCGGCGUGCCUAAUACAUGCAAGUCGUACGGAAAGGCCCUUCGGGGUACUCGAGUGGCGGACGGCUGAGUAACGCGUGGGAACGUGCCCCGAAGUGAGGGAUAACGCACCGAAAGGUGUGCUAAUACCGCAUAUGGUCUUCGGAUUAAAGCUUCGGCGCUUUGGGAGCGGCCCGCGUACGAUUAGAUAGUUGGUGAGGUAAUGGCUCACCAAGUGGACGAUCGUUAGCUGGUCUGAGAGGAUGAUCAGCCAGACUGGGACUGAGACACGGCCCAGACUCCUACGGGAGGCAGCAGUAAGGAAUCUUCCACAAUGGGGGCAAACCUGAUGGAGCAACGCCGCGUGCAGGAUGAAGGUUUUCGGAUCGUAAACUGCUUUUAUAAGUGAAGAAUAUGACGGUAACUUAUGAAUAAGGAUCGGCUAACUACGUGCCAGCCGCCGCAGUAA
rnacentral:rRNA from 1 species